CCUACGGGGGGCAGCAGUGGGGAAUAUUGCACAAUGGGGGAAACCCUGAUGCAGCCAAGCCGCGUGAGUGAAGAAGUAUCUCGGUAUGUAAAGCUCUAUCAGCAGGGAAGAAAAAAGACGGUACCUGACUAAGAUGCCUCGGCUAACUACGUGCCAGCAGCCGCGGUAAUACGUAGGGGGCAAGCGUUAUCCGGAUUUACGGGGUGUAAAGGGAGCGUAGACGGCUGGGCAAGUCUGAAGUGAAAGCCCGUGGCUCAACCGGGGACAUGCUUUGGAAACUGUAUAGCUUGAGUACUGGCGAGGCAGGCGGAAUGCCUAGUGUAGCGGUGAAAUGCGUAGAUAUUAGGAGGAACACCAGUGGCGAAGGCGGCCUGCUGGACAGAAACUGACGUUGAGGCUCGAAAGCGUGGGGAGCAAACAGGAUUAGAUACCCCUGUAGUC
rnacentral:rRNA from 1 species